rnacentral:rRNA from 1 species
CCUACGGGUGGCAGCAGUGGGGAAUAUUGGGCAAUGGGCGCAAGCCUGACCCAGCAACGCCGCGUGAAGGAAGAAGGCUUUCGGAUUGUAAACUUCUUUUAUGAGGGACGAAAGAAAUGACGGUACCUCAUGAAUAAGCCACGGCUAACUAUGUGACAGCAGCCGCGGUAAUACGUUGGUGGCAAGCGUUAUCCGGAUUUACUGGGUGUAAAGGGCGGGUAGGCGGGACUGCAAGUCAGAUGGGAAAAGUAUGUGCUCAACCCAUAGCAUGCAUUUGAAACUGUAGUUCUUGAGUGUUGGAGAGGCAGGCGGAAUUCCGUGUGUAGCGGUGAAAUGCGUAGAUAUACGGAGGAACACCAGUGGCGAAGGCGGCCUGCUGGACAUUAACUGACGCUGAGGCGCGAAAGCGUGGGGAGCGAACAGGAUUAGAUACCCGGGUAGUC